UUUUUAUUUAAGCAAUACAAUAGUUUUACAUUAUUCAUUACAUAAAACUUUUUAUCAUAAAUCAUUAUCAGUUCCUUAUCCCAUUAUUUUUUUUAAAAUAGUUUUUAAAUAAACAUUUUCUCAAAAUGCCAUUAUUUCCAGUAGUUUUGUGGGCCCAAAAAAAGGAGUGCCUUUAUCUAACUAUCGAAUUACAAGAUGCAGAAAAUGUCAAAAUUGACUUAAAAGAAGAUAAGUUGUAUUUUUAUGGAAAAAAGGAUAACAAUGAGUAUGAAUUUACAUUAAAUUUUUUAAAACCAAUAAAUGUAGAAGAAUCUAAAUAUGCCACUAAAAGAAACAUUAAAUUUAAAAUAAUAAAAAAAGAAAAAGAAAGAUGGAAGACAAUAAAUAAGGAUGGAAAAAAACAUUGGAUUAAAUGUGACUGGAACUCAUGGGUUGAUACAGAUGAAGAAAAUAAAACAACUGAAUAUGAUGAUAUGGCUAUGAACAAUUUUGGUGGUAUGGGUGGUAUGCCAGAUAUGAGUCAGUUUGGUGGUAUGGGAGGUAUGCCAGGUAUGGGAGGUAUGGGCGGUAUGGGAGGUAUGGGAGGUAUGCCAGGUAUGGGCGGUAUGGGUGGUAUGGGCGGUAUGGGAGGUAUGCCAGAUAUGAGUCAGUUGGGCGGUAUGGGAGGUAUGCCAGGCAUGGGGGGAAUGGGAGACAUAGAUUUUAGUAAGCUAGGAAAUAUGGGUGGUGAUAUGAAUAAUUUUUCAGGAUUAGGAGGAAUGGAUCAAUUUAAAAAUAUGCCAGAUAUGAAUAAUAUGAACAAUGACGACGAUUCAAGUUCUUAUGGAGAUGACUCAAGUGAUGGCGAUGAAGAUGAUGAUGAUGAUGAUGAUAAUGAUGCCACAAGUGGUGGUGAUGAUACAAGUGUAGGUGAUGAUGAUGAAGGUAAUGUUGAUGAUAAUAAAAUGGAUGUAAAGAAAGAGAAGGACGUAUCAAAAUGUAAAGUAAAUAAUGAUGGUAAUAUACAUGAUGAAGAAGCAAAAAUUC
rnacentral:lncRNA from 1 species